rnacentral:rRNA from 1 species
UACGGAGGGUGCGAGCGUUAUCCGGAAUUACUGGGUUUAAAGGGUGCGUAGGCGGCUGUGUAAGUCAGGAGUGAAAGUUUGCGGCUCAACCGUAAAAUUGCUUUUGAUACUGCACGGCUAGAAUCAGGAUGAGGUUAGCGGAAUGUGGCAUGUAGCGGUGAAAUGCAUAGAUAUGCCAUAGAACACCAAAUUGCGAAGGCAGCUGGCUAGACCUGGAUUGACGCUGAGGCACGAAAGCGUGGGGAGCGAACAGG